rnacentral:rRNA from 1 species
GGCGAACGCUGGCGGCGUGCCUAAUACAUGCAAGUCGAGCGGAUUGAAGGGAGCUUGCUCCCUGAUAUUAGCGGCGGACGGGUGAGUAACACGUGGGCAACCUGCCCUGCAGAUGGGGAUAACUCCGGGAAACCGGGGCUAAUACCGAAUAAUCGGUUCUUCCGCAUGGAAGAACUCUGAAAGACGGUUUCGGCUGUCACUGCAGGAUGGGCCCGCGGCGCAUUAGCUAGUUGGUGGGGUAACGGCCUACCAAGGCGACGAUGCGUAGCCGACCUGAGAGGGUGAUCGGCCACACUGGGACUGAGACACGGCCCAG